AUUGAACGCUGGCGGCAGGCCUAACACAUGCAAGUCGAACGAGUGGCGGACGGGUGAGUCAUGUCUGGGAAACUGCCCGAUGGAGGGGGAUACCUACUGGAAAGGGUAGCUAAUACCGCAUACCAUCGGUUGUGGCCAGAUGGGAUUAGCUAGUGGGUGGGGUAACGGCUCACGUAGGCGACGAUCCCUAGCUGGUCUGAGAGGAUGAGACGCCACACUGGAACGGGGACACGGUCCAGACUCCUACGGGAGGCAGCAGUGGGGAAUAUUGCAAAAUGGGCGAAAGCCGAAUGCAGCAAUGCCGCGUGUAUGAAGAAGGCCUUCGGGUUGUAAAGUACUUUCAGCGAGGAGGCGUUACUCGCAGAGGAAGCACCGGCUAACUCCGUGCCAGCAGCCGCGGUAAUAC
rnacentral:rRNA from 1 species